UACGAAGGGGGCUAGCGUUGUUCGGAAUUACUGGGCGUAAAGCGCACGUAGGCGGAUACUUAAGUCAGGGGUGAAAUCCCGGGGCUCAACCCCGGAACUGCCUUUGAUACUGGGUAUCUCGAGUCCGGAAGAGGUGAGUGGAAUUCCGAGUGUAGAGGUGAAAUUCGUAGAUAUUCGGAGGAACACCAGUGGCGAAGGCGGCUCACUGGUCCGGUACUGACGCUGAGGUGCGAAAGCGUGGGGGAGCGAACAGG
rnacentral:rRNA from 1 species